AUGGUAUUAUCAUCAAGAAUGAUGCACUUCCCGCCAAGGCGGGCGGCAAACAAGUGUAGGCCACUGCAUUCAGUGUCAUGGGCACAAAGGCAAUUUUCUAUAACUGCACCAUCGAGGCCGACCAGGGAGCCUUGUAUGACCAUGAGGGACUCCACUACUUCAAGGCCUCUACAAUCAAGGGAAGUGUUGACUUUAUCUUCGGAUCCGCAUGAUCGUUGUAUGAAGACUGUAGCAUCAUCUCUACUAACAAGGAUAUCACCGACAUGGAAGUGGCACAAUAGGGUCGGGCCAGCGAGAGCCGUAUCAACAGUGAGAGCGGUUUCUCCUUCAAGAAUUGUACCAUCAAGGGUGAGGGGAAACCAGUAUUUUUAG
rnacentral:rRNA from 1 species